rnacentral:rRNA from 1 species
AGCGUACACGGUGGAUGCCCUGGCAGUCAGAGGCGAUGAAGGACGUGCUAAUCUGCGAAAAGCGUCGGUAAGGUGAUAUGAACCGUUAUAGCCGGCGAUGUCCGAAUGGGGAAACCCAGUGCAAUUCGUUGCACUAUCGUUUGAUGAAUACAUAGUCAAACGAGGCGAACCGGGGGAACUGAAACAUCUAAGUACCCCGAGGAAAAGAAAUCAACCGAGAUUCCCCCAGUAGCGGCGAGCGAACGGGGAGCAGCCCGGAGUCUGAAUCAGCUUGUGUGUUAGUGGAAGCGUCUGGAAAGUCGCAGGGUACAGGGUGAUACUCCCGUACACUAAAACACACAGGCUGUGAACUCGAAGAGUAGGGCGGGACACGUGGUAUCCUGUCUGAAUAUGGGGGGACCAUCCUCCAAGGCUAAAUACUCCUGACUGACCGAUAGUGAACCAGUACCGUGAGGGAAAGGCGAAAAGAACCCCGGCGAGGGGAGUGAAAAAGAACCUGAAACCGUGUACGUACAAGCAGUAGGAGCCUCUUUAUGGGGUGACUGCGUACCUUUUGUAUAAUGGGUCAGCGACUUAUAUUCUGUAGCAAGGUUAACCGUAUAGGGGAGCCGCAGGGAAACCGAGUCUUAACUGGGCGUUAAGUUGCAGGGUAUAGACCCGAAACCCGGUGAUCUAGCCAUGGGCAGGUUGAAGGUUGGGUAACACUAACUGGAGGACCGAACCGACUAAUGUUGAAAAAUUAGCGGAUGACUUGUGGCUGGGGGUGAAAGGCCAAUCAAACCGGGAGAUAGCUGGUUCUCCCCGAAAGCUAUUUAGGUAGCGCCUCGUGAACUCAUCUUCGGGGGUAGAGCACUGUUUCGGCUAGGGGGUCAUCCCGACUUACCAACCCGAUGCAAACUACGAAUACCGAAGAAUGUUAUCACGGGAGACACACGGCGGGUGCUAACGUCCGUCGUGAAGAGGGAAACAACCCAGACCGCCAGCUAAGGUCCCAAAGUCAUGGUUAAGUGGGAAACGAUGUGGGAAGGCCCAGACAGCCAGGAUGUUGGCUUAGAAGCAGCCAUCAUUUAAAGAAAGCGUAAUAGCUCACUGGUCGAGUCGGCCUGCGCGGAAGAUGUAACGGGGCUAAACCAUGCACCGAAGCUGCGGCAGCGACACUAUGUGUUGUUGGGUAGGGGAGCGUUCUGUAAGCCGUUGAAGGUGGCCUGUGAGGGUUGCUGGAGGUAUCAGAAGUGCGAAUGCUGACAUAAGUAACGAUAAUGCGGGUGAAAAACCCGCACGCCGGAAGACCAAGGGUUCCUGUCCAACGUUAAUCGGGGCAGGGUGAGUCGACCCCUAAGGCGAGGCCGAAAGGCGUAGUCGAUGGGAAACAGGUUAAUAUUCCUGUACUCGGUGUUACUGCGAAGGGGGGACGGAGAAGGCUAUGUUGGCCGGGCGACGGUUGUCCCGGUUUAAGCAUGUAGGCGGAUGUUCCAGGUAAAUCCGGAACGUUACUAACGCUGAGGUGUGAUGACGAGGCACUACGGUGCUGAAGUGACAAAUGCCCUGCUUCCAGGAAAAGCCUCUAAGCAUCAGGUAACAUCAAAUCGUACCCCAAACCGACACAGGUGGUCAGGUAGAGAAUACCAAGGCGCUUGAGAGAACUCGGGUGAAGGAACUAGGCAAAAUGGUGCCGUAACUUCGGGAGAAGGCACGCUGAUAUGUAGGUGAAGUGGUUUACCCAUGGAGCUGAAAUCAGUCGAAGAUACCAGCUGGCUGCAACUGUUUAUUAAAAACACAGCACUGUGCAAACACGAAAGUGGACGUAUACGGUGUGACGCCUGCCCGGUGCCGGAAGGUUAAUUGAUGGGGUUAUCCGUAAGGAGAAGCUCUUGAUCGAAGCCCCGGUAAACGGCGGCCGUAACUAUAACGGUCCUAAGGUAGCGAAAUUCCUUGUCGGGUAAGUUCCGACCUGCACGAAUGGCGUAAUGAUGGCCAGGCUGUCUCCACCCGAGACUCAGUGAAAUUGAACUCGCUGUGAAGAUGCAGUGUACCCGCGGCAAGACGGAAAGACCCCGUGAACCUUUACUAUAGCUUGACACUGAACACUGGUCCUUGAUGUGUAGGAUAGGUGGGAGGCUUUGAAGUGUGGACGCCAGUCUGCAUGGAGCCAUCCUUGAAAUACCACCCUUUAAUGGCUGGUGUUCUAACGUGGGCCCCUAAUCGGGGUUGCGGACAGUGUCUGGUGGGUAGUUUGACUGGGGCGGUCUCCUCCUAAAGAGUAACGGAGGAGCACGAAGGUCAGCUAAUCCUGGUCGGACAUCAGGAGGUUAGUGCAAUGGCAUAAGCUGGCUUGACUGCGAGCGUGACGGCGCGAGCAGGUGCGAAAGCAGGUCAUAGUGAUCCGGUGGUUCUGAAUGGAAGGGCCAUCGCUCAACGGAUAAAAGGUACUCCGGGGAUAACAGGCUGAUACCGCCCAAGAGUUCAUAUCGACGGCGGUGUUUGGCACCUCGAUGUCGGCUCAUCACAUCCUGGGGCUGAAGUAGGUCCCAAGGGUAUGGCUGUUCGCCAUUUAAAGUGGUACGCGAGCUGGGUUUAGAACGUCGUGAGACAGUUCGGUCCCUAUCUGCCGUGGGCGCUGGAGAAUUGAGGGGGGCUGCUCCUAGUACGAGAGGACCGGAGUGGACGCAUCACUGGUGUUCGGGUUGUCAUGCCAAUGGCAUUGCCCGGUAGCUAAAUGCGGAAGAGAUAAGUGCUGAAAGCAUCUAAGCACGAAACUUGCCCCGAGAUGAGUUCUCCCUGACUCCUUGA